GUGGUGCACGGUUGUCGUCAGCUCGUGCCGUAAGGUGUUGGGUUAAGUCCCGCAACGAGCGCAACCCUCGUGUUUAGUUGCCAACGUUGAGUUUGGAACCCUGAGCAGACUGCCGGUGGUAAGCCGGAGGAAGGUGGGGAUGACGU
rnacentral:rRNA from 1 species